rnacentral:rRNA from 1 species
ACGGGAGGCAGCAGUGAGGAAUAUUGGUCAAUGGGCGGAAGCCUGAACCAGCCGAGUAGCGUGCAGGAUGACGGCCCUAUGGGUUGUAAACUGCUUUUGUCAGGGAAUAAAAAGGAAUACGUGUAUUCCAUUGCAUGUACCUGAAGAAUAAGGACCGGCUAAUUCCGUGCCAGCAGCCGCGGUAAUACGGAAGGUCCGGGCGUUAUCCGGAUUUAUUGGGUUUAAAGGGAGCGCAGGCGGCCUUUUAAGCGUGUUGUGAAAUGUAGUGGCUCAACCUCUGCACUGCAGCGCGAACUGGAGGGCUUGAGUACGCGGGAAGUAGGCGGAAUUCGUCGUGUAGCGGUGUAAUGCUUAGAUAUGGCGAAGAACUCCGAUUGCGUAGGCAGCUGACCAGGCCGUAAAUGACGCUCAUGCACGAAAGUGCGGGGAUCGAACAGGAUUAGAUACCCUGGUA